rnacentral:rRNA from 1 species
GACGGAGGAUGCAAGCGUUAUCCGGAAUUAUUGGGCGUAAAGCGUCCGCAGGUGGACAUACAAGUCUGCUGUCAAAGUGCAGAGCUUAACUCUGUAAAGGCGGUGGAAACUGUAGGUCUUGAGUAUGGUAGGGGUAGAGGGAAUUCCCGGUGUAGCGGUGAAAUGCGUAGAUAUCGGGAAGAACACCAGUGGCGAAAGCGCCCUACUGGGCCAUAACUGACACUGAGGGACGAAAGCUAGGGGAGCGAACAGG